rnacentral:rRNA from 1 species
UACAGAGACUGCAAGCGUUAUUCGGAUUCACUGGGCGUAAAGGGUGCGCAGGCGGCCGUGUGUGUGGGGCGUGAAAGCCUGGAGCUUAACUCCAGAAUUGCACCUCAAACUACAUGGCUAGAGCAUUGGAGAGGGUAGCGGAAUUCACGGUGUAGCAGUGAAAUGCGUAGAUAUCGUGAGGAACACCAGAGGCGAAGGCGGCUACCUGGACAAUUGCUGACGCUCAGGCACGAAAGCGUGGGGAGCAAAAGGG